GCUUCACCGUGUCCCGCCCUUCCCUACCGCACCUUCGUCGUCUCCACCUCAAUCACCAUGGCGGCUUCACCAUGUCCCCGCAAUCACCGCAGCGGCCAGCCAGAUCCCACCUCGGCUACUCCCCAGCACAGUCGGAGUUGCGCCCGCGUCCCCCAAUACCCGCCCCGGCUCCUUGCCGCAAUCACUGCAGCAGCCAGAUCCGACCUCGCCCGACCCAUGGCGCGCGCCCGAGCUGCCCGCGUCCCCUCAAAAUCCACUCCGGAUCCUCUCCCUUCCCCACAGUGCGCGUCGGCAUCUGACUGUGCUUUCCCAAAUUUGGAGAUCUUCCAUCGUCGCCGGAGCGUGCAACCUCAAUCUUCACCACAUCGCGGCGAUUGCGGACGCGCGCGCCCUCGACCCAUGGCGCCCGAUCUACCCGCGGUCCACCAAAACCCGCCCUGCCUCCUCCCCGCCACAUCGUGACGCCACACCAUCGACAACCUGCCUGCUCUUCUGGGAAACGAUGCUUAUUCUUCUAAUCCAGAGAACCCAAAAGAAAUUCAGAGACCUGCUGAUGUGGUUUCUCUAGGGAGCGAUUCAUUCCCUGCAUUUCCAGGCAUAUAUGGCAAAGCUCUGACGCCUUUGCUUCCCGAAGAUAUUGGUGCUACCAUAGCUCAGCAGCCGCCUACAGAAGAGACCCAGUCCACUGAUGUGGAGACUUCUGGUACAAAGUAUAGAAAGUGGGCAUAUAUCAUCACGAUUCCAGCUGAAGUAUUGCUCAUUAGUCUGAUAGUUCUGAUAGUUUUGGUUCUGCGGAAGCAAGGGCCUGCACCAGUAGCCCCUUUGAGAACAGGGCUAAGUGCCCUAUUCAGAAGGCCCUCGUAUCAGGUGCCCAAAAGCUGAACAAAAAGAGCAUCUAUUUCAAAUAUUCCAAUUACCUUUCUCAGAGCAAGCCUAUGAGCAAUAUUUGGACCUCAGUGAAAUUUAGGACAGAGUCAACCUAACUAACACAAAAGAUAUAUGGACUUAUAUCUAGAGAUCAGAUACUUACUCAACGCAGAAGACCUACAGGCAACUAAUUGGCCACUCCAAUGUUCAUAUUAUUUAUAAGUGGCUCUAGAAAAACAAAUGUCAACCCAAGCAUAAAGUCUUCUUCUCGUUGUGGCUCAAAAAUAGGCUAAACACAAGGAAUACGCUGCGAAGAAAAAAUAUGGCACUGGAAUCAUAUACAUGUGAAAACUGCAUUUGGCAAAAGGAGGAAACCCUUUAUAAUCUAUUUCUCAGGUGUAACUUUGCAAAAGCAUGUUGGAAUUCCAUUGGCAUAAACCCUCCCAGAAUUGCCCAGCCAGAAGAAGCGUCCGCUAAUCUCAAGCAGCAACCUAAUGUGCCUUUCUCCAUGGAAAUAAUCAUCCUAAUGACAUGGAGCAUCCGGAAAUGUCAGAAUGAAUGGAUCUUUGAAAAUCAAGACCCAACAGUUCAACACUGUAAAAAUGAGUUCAAAAAAGAAAUGCUUUUGGUUAUCCACAGAGCAAGAGGAAAAUAUGACACCUCGAUUCCAGAUUGGCUUCAUGAGAGACAUAUUUAAUUCUUUUAGUGCCUUCAAUCCUUUACCAUCCCCCUAGCAUCUGAUACACUUGUAGCUAGCUGCAGAUUUUGACUCUUCACUCUAUUGUAAUUAACCAUUUUAAUACAAAAUUUAUAGUAGGGGUUCCCCCUCCUGGACUUUCAAAAAAAAGCUAAACAGAGCUGAGUUUGAAGUCGCUUGUGAAGAUUUUAGCAACAUCAUCAACAAUUUUCCUACAUGUACCAUGUUUAAGGGCAUAUUAUCAGGCGGGGUCGAGAUCGACACUGUCUCCGCUGUCA